AGAACGGCUUUGAAAGAAAUACAGUAGCGACUUUUUCCCUGUCACAGAGAACCGGUGGUUGGUGGGAACCGGCACACAAAAGGUACGUGAAUUUCAUUUCUGGAGCUUUUUUUGCCUUCGGGCAGAAGACGGUGACGACCGUUAUACGUUUGAGUGAUGGGGAUUUUUUGUCUCCAUAAUCAGGGUGGUACCGCGAUAAAAAAUCGUCCCUACG
rnacentral:ncRNA from 1 species